rnacentral:lncRNA from 1 species
CAGGUAACAGAGACUACUGUAAUCAGCCAUGACAUCCUCUGUGUGGCUGAUGUUCAAAUAGUGACUACUUAUGGAGGACAUUUUUGCGCAUUAUUCUCUGUCCUAGACAGAGGCCUCAUUUGGCACAGUCCUCUGAGAACCAGCGUCCAGCAACUUGCCCUAAGUCCCUGCCUCAGCCCACUACCUCUUACAGGUCUGAUAAGAGGCAUCUUAUCAUUGGUGGGAUUACUCACAAGAUGGCUGGAGCUCAUCAAUUUCAUUAAUUCACUGUGUUUACAGAACCCUCCAUACG